rnacentral:lncRNA from 1 species
AGCAGAGUCGCGAGGAGCAAGAAAUGCCGGUAAGAAACCCCCGGAUCUUAUUGAACUGUCUGUAGGAGUUGGAAGGGAGUCCAGAGGGUCAUCGAGGGCAACCCCUUUGUUCUCCUCCUGGCACCACCACACCAGACAACUGGGCUCUGAAGCCUGGAAAAUUCGGGGCAGGUAAAAGAACAUCAUGUAGCAGAGUUGAACUAUGGAACUCCCUGUCACUUGAGGCAGUGAUGGCCACGGACUUGGAUGGCUUUAAAAGAGGAUGGGGCUCCUAGCUAGGAGCUUUCGGUAGCUCCUAGCCAGGAUGGCCUGAUCCAGCAGGUGAUCUUCUUUUUUUCUUCUUCUUUUUAUCACCAAACAGCAUUUUAUUUCAUUUGUGAUUCAGAUUGGUGUUUUUCCCUUCAAGGGUAAAAAGUGCAGAAACCUCUUCUCUGAACUGUGCAAAGAUUUUACUCUAUUACAAGCUAGUUUACCAUACCCAGUUACUAAUUUUUAUGACAGCUUUAUCCCCCAAUCUUAAAAGUGCAUUAAUAAAAGAGAAAAGCCAGUGAAAGCAAAAUCCACAUCUGUACUUUGCUGUUCAUUAUUACAUUUUUGGGAUUUAAAGCAAUUCCCUUUAAAAGUCUUUGGGUUGCUAAUACAAAUCCUUCCCCCUUCUAUACUGUGACAGACUCUGGAAACACACUAUUCACUUCCAUUUGCCACAAACUUUUGAUGGUUUUCCUUGUGCAGAUUGAAAUAUUGAUUUUAAGAAUCUGCACAUAAAACCAUCUUUGUUGAUCAUGUUCAAGCUUACUAGAAGCACAGACUGGAUGGUUGCUAUUAUAAAAGCCACUCCCUUGGUCAUAGAAGAAUUUCCCCUUGACAUCUGGGCAGGGUUCUGUGUCAGUUCCUCUAAGAGAUAUUUUGUCCUCUGAAGCUAUCGAUUCUACAAACUUAAACCAGUUUCAGAGCAGCCUAACCAUCUGCUAAGCUGCCCCAAAUAAACUUUUGGGAACUUGUGAAAAGUGUGGCAGAGGCUGCUUUUCAGCUGGACCGGCUGGUUCAUUUGAUUCGACUUUAUUUAAAUAUUUAAUUUAUAUAUUGCUCAAAGCCACUGCUUUUUGCAGUAUGGUAGCGCUGCAGAGAGCUUGCUGGGGAGACCAUGCAUUAAAAAGGGACUCAAAAAUAAUUUAAACAAGGUUUUAAUAAGAAAAACAAAAACUCCUUUUACACUAAAUACAUUAACAAACAAACAUGACCCAACCACCAACCCAUCCCCCAGGGUAAUGGGAGAGCUAGGUGCUGCUCCUUAUAUACUACACCCAAUUACCAACACAGCUUAAUCAAUACAACUCAGCAGCACCUGCUAUGUUUCACAGCUGUAAAGCUGGGUCUCGUUAUUUUGCUCUGGCCCUUUCUCUGGCCCCUUAAAGACAUACACAUCGAGUGGAACAAUGAUGAACCUUUACAUAUUAAACCAUUCAACAUUUCCCCUGCGGUUCAUCAUUGUGGAACAAAAACAUAAAGCAUACUUUGUACAUGUUUUUCAUGUAUACCUUUUGGAAGUGCUUUAGUAAAAAUGUCUGCAAUUUGAUUGUCACCUGGAACAUAUUUAAAUACAACCAUUUCAUCAGCAAUUGGUUUCUUUACAAACUGUAAACGUAAUCUUAAGACUUUAGUGCGCUGCGUAUUGGUUUCUGAACAUAGGAUAGCGAGUCCACUCUGGGAAUCAAGGUAAACUUUUACUGGUAGUGUUACUUGCAUCUGUAGGUCUGCGAAUACUUGCAGAUACCAUUCCACAUCACGAGUGGCCUGAACACAUGCACAUAAUUCACUCUCUGUUGUGGAGAGACAAAUAAUGGUUUGUGUCUGGGACUUCCAUUCAAAUGGACAACCAUUAUAACAAAACACCAUACCAGACACACCCCUGCAAUUAUUUUGUUCCACUGCAUGAGAUGCAUCACAGAAAAUUUCAAAACCUUUGUCAAUACAUGUUGUAAACUGCAACCUAUAAUGUUUGGUAUGUUUAAGGUACAUUACCACUCUCUUAAGAGCAGAGAAACAUUGUGUAGUGGGCUUUUCCACAAAUUUUGCCAGAAAGUGAAAGGCAUAAGUUAUAUCUGGUCUUGAGAUUCUUUGAAUGAAAUUUAGCUUGCCUAUAGCAGAACGAUACAAAGUUUUGUUAGGAAAUGGCUUAUCUUCACCUGUAAAAGUGAAACCACACACCAUGGGCGUUUCCUUCCCAUUUGCAUUUUCUAAACAUAGCAUUUCAACAAGAUCGUCAAUUUUUGCAGUUUGAUGAACCAGAAAAGAUCCAUUUUUGCCUUUCUCAAUUUGCAUGGAUAAGUAAUUUUUAGCUAUGCCUAAUUCCACCACAUCAAAUUUCUUCUGUAACUGUGUUACUACCUGUUCAUAUUCCUGUUUAGUUUUUGUAGAAAUUAACACGUCAUCUACAUAGACACAUAUUUUUGCUACAGAGUUUGCCCUUUCCUUUAUAAACACACAAUUGUCUGCCUUUCCCUGUGAAAAACCAAUAUCCAGCAAUUCUUUUGCUAAAGUUUGGUGCCAGUUCCUUCCACUUUGGUGCAGACCAUAAAGGGAUUUAUUUAAUUUGCAUACCAAACCUUCAGCGGCGUCUAUGCCUUCAGGGACACGCAUAAAAAUUUGUUCUUUUAAAUCUGCAAACAAAUAUGCAGUUUUUAUAUCUAGGUGAUAAACAGAAUGUCCACGUUGUGAUGCAUCUUUUAACAAAAGCUUAACUGUUUCAUAUUUUACACUUGGUGAAUAACACAAAUCAUACUUUUCGCCUGGAAUUUGUUGAAAACCCCUAGCAACUAAUCUUGCCUUGUACCUUACAACUUCAUUUUUGUCAUUCAUUUUAACUCUAUAAACCCAUUUUGAAUCAAUAAGUCUCAUAUCUGGGGUUUGUGGUACAAGAGACCAAGUGUUAUGCUCUUUUAAAGAAGCUAUUUCAGAGUUCAUAGCUUUAUACCAAUUUACAGCUUGGUGCUUAGGUAAAUUCUGAACAUCAUUGUAGCUUUUGGCUCAAAAACUGCCUUAUUGGCAUACACAGUAUUAAAAUGUUCAUCUGCAAAACGUUGUGGCUUCUGUCUCUUUCUAUCUGAACGUCUCAGUCCGGAAGGAGAGUCAGACUCCUCAGACUUAAUGGGACUAUGUAAACUACUAGUUUCAGGUUGUAAAUCAUCAUUGUCAGACUGAAGAGAUGCCUGUUGGCUAAGCUCACGGUCAGAAAACUCAAGAGAAUCUAACCUCCCCUCGGGUGCCUGUGACUUUAAAUCAUCAAAGAAAUUAUCAGAUUCAACAGGCUUUUGUCUUCUUCCAUUAAUUCAGAAGCACCAUUUCCUGCUGCUGCUGCUUCUUCUACCUCUUCUUCCUCAGUAUUAUCUAUACCAUUACUAUCUUGGAAAACAGCAACACCAUUCCAAUUUACAGUUUGUAUCAUGCUUCUGGUAAUAUGAAAUUUGCCAGUUGCUGGUAUGUAAAUUCUGUACGCCCCCUGCUGGUAGCCCAUUAAUUUUCCCUGGACACUACGUUCACCCAAUUUCUGCUUAGCGGGAUAAUGCAUUAUUACAUCUGAACCCCAAAUGCGUAGGUAUUUCAGAUUAGGGCGUUUUUAAACAGCUUCUCAUAGGGGUGACAUCUAAACCAGAAUGAUAACUGCGAUUUCUAACAUAACAAAAGGCAUUGAGCGCUUCAGCCCAAAAGUCUUUGGGCAGAUUAGCAUCAUGCAGAUAAGUUUUAACCCCUGCCUGCAGGUCACGCUGCACAACUUCCAACAAGCCCAUUUUGCCAGGGACUUCGGGGCAAGAUAACUCAUGAGUAGUCCCCUGCGCUUCCAGGAAUUUCUCAAAAUCCUCAGAAACAAACUCACGCCCCUGUCAGAAAAAAGGUUCUUAAUAGGUUUGUUAAAAUGUGUUUUUACCCAGUUGCAAAAAACUUUGUACUUCUCAAAUGCUUGGGACUUCUCAGCUAUUGCAUAAGUCCAACAAUAUCUACUAUACUGGUCUAUCAGGGUAAGCCAGUACUUAGAACCUCCUAAGGAUGGUGGGAGUGGCCCAACUAAAUCACAAUGUACACGCUCAAAUGGCUCAGUUACUUUCCUAUCUGAGCACCUACCCUUGCGUGCAACCUUAAUCUUAUUCUUGCAACAGGAUAGACAUUGCAUAAAGAAUUUACAUGGUUUUAAGUUGAGGCCAUUAACAAUAUUCUUGGUCUUAAUUACAUCAGCAAAAUUCAGAUGUCCCAGAAUUCUGUGCGCCUCAUGGACACACCCAGAAUGUGGCCUUACAUUCCUCAACCCCUGGCUUGACUGUGCUGCUCUGCAAUUUAUAGGCGAUUGGGAGUAGGUGCGAAAAUACAGUCUAUAUAAACCAUCAGAUUCCCGGGCAUACAAUAGACGUUUGUUCCCCUCGAAAAACUCACACAUUGACUUUAAGAAGCGCACAGUUAUGCCUUGACGAGCAAAACACCUUACUGACAAUAAAUUGUCCACUGAUGGGCAGUAAAUGCAGUUCGCUAUAGUAAUGUUUAAAGAGUCAAGUUUAACAGUACCCCUGCCAAGCGACUGUAAGACUUGUGAAUUGGCUAAAUGUACAUUACCAAUUUCCUCUUCGAAAGAAAUAAACAAGCUUCGAUCGUUGCAAACGUGCUGAGAUGCUCCUGAGUCCACAAUAAAAUAAUUCCACUUGGCACCUUUAAUUCUUUUACGAUCUCUUGUGCUAGCGUGAAAAGCUCGCGGCUCGUUUCUGUCUUUACGGUACGAUGCCGGCUGCUGAGCUGACGACCGUGACUGACGAACAGAAACAGACUUGGGAGUACUUUGCUUUCUUUGGAUCUGCAGUCCUUUGCAAAAUGUCCUUGCUUAUUGCAGAACCAACAACGCUUUGCAGCUUUAAAUGCAGUUGUAUCACCACAAGUUUGCAUAUGGCGUUCCUCAUUACUUCUGGAAGUAGGAGUGCUUAUGGCACAAGCCUCCCUUCUGUCCAACUCACCCAUUAAUCUUGCCGUUACCCCUUCCACAGUUAAUUGCGCUGGUGGAACGGCAGAUAUCUGGCUAGCUAUACCAUCAAAGUCCUCGUUAAGGGAACAAAGAAUGAUAAAAACAUACUGAGUAUCAGGUAUCUCCAUGUCCCUUUGAAUUAAUUCGCAGCGUAUUGCCUCCAGACGUCUCAAGUGUGCUGCCAAAUCACCACCAGGCUGCAACUUCGUCUGGUACAGCUGCUUGAAAAACGUCAAUGCAGACGCUGACUCUUUUCUAAUAUGCACUGCUGCAAGACUGUCCCACAUUUCUUUGGCAGUUUUCUUAUUCCUUAUAUAGACUACUUGCUGGUCGCUGACUGCCAAAUUAAUUAUCGCCCUGGCUUUAGCGUCUCCUUUCGACCAAGCAUUAGUCACAGGGUUAGGAGGGUCAUCAGUUACAUAGGUCCAUACUUCUCUAGAGGUCAAAAGCGCCUCCACCCGAAAAGACCAUAAACUAUAGUUCUCAUCUGUCAGCUGUGGGAAGACCAGAGCCUUCUCAGCUUCAGGAACCCGGUCAACCAUUCUGGAACUCUUCCAGACCCACUGAACUACGCUAACAGGAGAAGGAGUUUUCAAACCUUUCUCAGAGUCCAAAAAUAUGCAGUCAUCCACUCAGCAGCUGGGCCCAUAACCAAAGAUGUUGGCUUUUUGCAGUAUGGUAGCGCUGCAGAGAGCUUGCGGGGAGACCAUGCAUUAAAAGGGACUCAAAAAUAAUUUAACAAGGUUUUAAUAAGAAAAACAAAAAACCCUUUUACACAAAAUACAUUAACAAACCAACAUGACCCAACCACCAACCCCAACCCCAGGGUAAAGGGAGAGCUAGGUGCUGCUCCUUAUAUACUACACCCAAUUACCAACACAGCUUAAUCAAUACAACUCAGCAGCACCUGCUAUGUUUCACAGCUGUAAAGCUGGGUCUCGUUAUUUUGCUCUGGCCCUUUCUCUGGCCCCUUAAAGACAUACACAUCGAGUGGAACAAUGAUGAACCUUUACAUAUUAAACCAUUCAACAGUUUCCAGAAAAUACAAUCGAUUGAAACGAACUUUGGCUGCUCGCAUUCCGACACAAUUUCCCACACUGUUUCUGCUUAUGGUGCUCCAACCAAGUUCUUAUUUCUCCCUGCCCUUCUUCGUUUCAGGCCCCCAGUGCGAAUGCUGCCUCGGAUUGAACGCUCUGCUGUGCAGGUUGGACCACGGACGCCAAGACAUCAUUUUUGCGAAAGAGAGCAGGCUGGGGGAGCAAAUCUGACCAGGAUUUCUGGGCAAACUUAGGAAGCUGGAUGGCAAUGGAUGGGGUGGGGCGAGUCAGAUUGGGGCCACCACAGCCCCCUUUCCCCACCGCCCCCAGGGUGGAAAACACCAUCUGGACUGAGCGGAACAGCUGGCACUCAAGACAAAGGCAGUCCAUUUUAGAACAGAUCAUGUGUUUUGUUUCUUGCCUGGACAUAAUUUUUGCUUCUUUUUUGAAUUUGCAUUUUAUUUAUUUGUUAACAUUCUUAUAUUACAUCGGUAAACGUUGUCAUAUUACGUUACAGGACUUACUAUAAUUUCCAACAUGUAUACAAAAAUUAUAUACAAAUUUUAUAUACCUAGAAAGAAAAUGAAACAAAGAAAAGGGAAGAACAAAGAGAAGAAACAAAAACAAAUUUUCUCCCCCAAAAUCAUAUACAUACCAACACACUAGACUUCCUG